GUGGCAAUGAUGAGUUGCGCAGGGGUACGGACCUCGGCUACAUCAUGGGAGCCGAAUGCAGGUCUGGCUUAUCUAAGAUUGCUGACAUGUAGUUGGCUGCUUGGAACAGGCCUGUAUGACAUUGCUGCCCAACUGAGCCAC